rnacentral:rRNA from 1 species
ACCGAAUAGAUACCCAGGUAGUCCACGCCCUAAACUAUGCGAACUGGAUGUUGGGUACAUUACGGUACUCAGUGUCGAAAGCUAAACGCGUUAAGUUCGCCGCCUGGGGAGUACGGUCGCAAGACUGAAACUCAAAGGAAUUGACGGGGGCCCGCACAGGCGGUGGAGUAUGUGGUUUAAUUCGAUGCAACGCGAAGAACCUUACCUGGCCUUGACAUCUGUCGAAUCCUGCAGAGAUGCGGGAGUGCCGCAAGGAACGACAAGACGAGGUGCUGCAUGGCUGUCGUCAGCUCGUGUCGUGAGA